AGCGUCAUUACGACCCUCAAGCACUGCUUGGUAUUGGAUGUCAACCAUCGUGGUGCAUCUCAAAAGUAUUGGCAGUAGCAUUCAGCUUCUAGCGUAGUAAAUUUCUCGCUUUGGAGUGAAGUGUCUUAUUGCUAGGGUAGAACCCCUAAUUUAUCAAAACGGUUGACCUCGGAUCAGGUAGGGAUACCCGCUGAACUUAA
rnacentral:misc_RNA from 1 species